GGGAAGUGGCGGCGUGCUAUAAUGCAAGUCGAGCGGACAGAAGGGAGCUUGCUCCCGGAUGUUAGCGGCGGACGGGUGAAAACACGUGGGUAACCUGCCUGUAAGACUGGGAUAACUCCGGGAAACCGGAGCUAAUACCGGAUAGUUCCUUGAACCGCAUGGUUCAAGGAUGAAAGACGGUUUCGGCUGUCACUUACAGAUGGACCCGCGGCGCAUUAGCUAGUUGGUGGGGUAAUGGCUCACCAAGGCGACGAUGCGUAGCCGACCUGAGAGGGUGAUCGGCCACACUGGGACUGAGACACGGCCCAGACUCCUACGGGAGGCAGCAGUAGGGAAUCUUCCGCAAUGGACGAAAGUCUGACGGAGCAACGCCGCGUGAGUGAUGAAGGUUUUCGGAUCGUAAAGCUCUGUUGUUAGGGAAGAACAAGUGCGAGAGUAACUGCUCGCACCUUGACGGUACCUAACCAGAAAGCCACGGCUAACUACGUGCCAGCAGCCGCGGUAAUACGUAGGUGGCAAGCGUUGUCCGGAAUUAUUGGGCGUAAAGGGCUCGCAGGCGGUUUCUUAAGUCUGAUGUGAAAGCCCCCGGCUCAACCGGGGAGGGUCAUUGGAAACUGGGAAACUUGAGUGCAGAAGAGGAGAGUGGAAUUCCACGUGUAGCGGUGAAAUGCGUAGAGAUGUGGAGGAACACCAGUGGCGAAGGCGACUCUCUGGUCUGUAACUGACGCUGAGGAGCGAAAGCGUGGGGAGCGAACAGGAUUAGAUACCCUGGUAGUCCACGCCGUAAACGAUGAGUGCUAAGUGUUAGGGGGUUUCCGCCCCUUAGUGCUGCAGCUAACGCAUUAAGCACUCCGCCUGGGGAGUACGGUCGCAAGACUGAAACUCAAAGGAAUUGACGGGGGCCCGCACAAGCGGUGGAGCAUGUGGUUUAAUUCGAAGCAACGCGAAGAACCUUACCAGGUCUUGACAUCCUCUGACAACCCUAGAGAUAGGGCUUUCCCUUCGGGGACAGAGUGACAGGUGGUGCAUGGUUGUCGUCAGCUCGUGUCGUGAGAUGUUGGGUUAAGUCCCGCAACGAGCGCAACCCUUGAUCUUAGUUGCCAGCAUUCAGUUGGGCACUCUAAGGUGACUGCCGGUGACAAACCGGAGGAAGGUGGGGAUGACGUCAAAUCAUCAUGCCCCUUAUGACCUGGGCUACACACGUGCUACAAUGGACAGAACAAAGGGCUGCAAGACCGCAAGGUUUAGCCAAUCCCAUAAAUCUGUUCUCAGUUCGGAUCGCAGUCUGCAACUCGACUGCGUGAAGCUGGAAUCGCUAGUAAUCGCGGAUCAGCAUGCCGCGGUGAAUACGUUCCCGGGCCUUGUACACACCGCCCGUCGCACCACGAGAGUUUGCAACACCCGAAGUCGGUGAGGUAACCUUUAUGGAGCCAGCCGCCGAAGGUGGCAAGAAAGG
rnacentral:rRNA from 1 species